CUGGGCUUGACAUGCAAGGAAAUCUCAUAGAGAUAUGAGGUCCGUAAGGGCCUUGCACAGGUGGUGCAUGGCUGUCGUCAGCUCGUGUCGUGAGAUGUUGGGUUAAGUCCCGCAACGAGCGCAACCCUCAUCCUAUGUUGCCAGCGCGUAAUGGCGGGGACUCAUAGGAGACUGCCGUGGUCAACACGGAGGAAGGUGGGGAUGACGUCAAGUCAUCAUGCCCCUUAUGUCCAGGGCUGCACACAUGCUACAAUGGCCGGUACAAAGGGCUGCGAUACCGCAAGGUGGAGCGAAUCCCAGAAAGCCGGUCUCAGUUCGGAUUGGGGUCUGCAACUCGACCCCAUGAAGUCGGAGUUGCUAGUAAUCGCAGAUCAGCAACGCUGCGGUGAAUACGUUCCC
rnacentral:rRNA from 1 species